rnacentral:rRNA from 1 species
UUCGCUNACGAGUGGCGGACGGGUGAGUAAUGUCUGGGAAACUGCCUGAUGGAGGGGGAUAACUACUGGAAACGGUAGCUAAUACCGCAUAACGUCGCAAGACCAAAGAGGGGGACCUUCGGGCCUCUUGCCAUCGGAUGUGCCCAGAUGGGAUUAGCUAGUAGGUGGGGUAACGGCUCACCUAGGCGACGAUCCCUAGCUGGUCUGAGAGGAUGACCAGCCACACUGGAACUGAGACACGGUCCAGACUCCUACGGGAGGCAGCAGUGGGGAAUAUUGCACAAUGGGCGCAAGCCUGAUGCAGCCAUGCCGCGUGUAUGAAGAAGGCCUUCGGGUUGUAAAGUACUUUCAGCGGGGAGGAAGGCGAUAAGGUUAAUAACCUUGUCGAUUGACGUUACCCGCAGAAGAAGCACCGGCUAACUCCGUGCCAGCAGCCGCGGUAAUACGGAGGGUGCAAGCGUUAAUCGGAAUUACUGGGCGUAAAGCGCACGCAGGCGGUCUGUCAAGUCGGAUGUGAAAUCCCCGGGCUCAACCUGGGAACUGCAUUCGAAACUGGCAGGCUAGAGUCUUGUAGAGGGGGGUAGAAUUCCAGGUGUAGCGGUGAAAUGCGUAGAGAUCUGGAGGAAUACCG